UACGUAGGGGGCUAGCGUUGUCCGGAUUUAUUGGGCGUAAAGAGCGUGUAGGCGGCCAUGUAGGUCCGGUGUGAAAACUCGAGGCUUAACCUCGAGAUGUCAUCGGAAACCAUUUGGCUAGAGUCCGGAAGAGGAGAGUGGAAUUCCUGGUGUAGCGGUGAAAUGCGCAGAUAUCAGGAAGAACACCAAUGGCGAAAGCAGCUCUCUGGGACGGUAUUGACGCUGAGACGCGAAAGCGUGGGGAGCGAACAGG
rnacentral:rRNA from 1 species